GACGAACCGUGCGAACGUUAUUCGGAAUCACUGGGCUUAAAGGGCGCGUAGGCGGGUCAUCAAGUCCGGGGUGAAAUCUUUCGGCUUAACCGGAAAAUUGCCUUGGAAACUGGUGGUCUUGAGGGAAGUAGGGGUCUGCGGAACUUCCGGUGGAGCGGUGAAAUGUGUUGAUAUCGGAAGGAACGCCGGUGGCGAAAGCGGCGGACUGGGCUUCUUCUGACGCUGAGGCGAGAAAGCUAGGGGAGCAAACGGG
rnacentral:rRNA from 1 species